AGCGGCUGUGCCUGAGCCCCUGGCCUGUCGGCAGUGCAAUGGCAGCGUGAGGGGCAGACAGUCUUCCUCCAGAUGCCCCCUCACAUCACGGGGUUACAGAGGAAGCCUCUGCUCCUGUCCAGUGGCUGUCGGCCCGGCCAGCUUCCUGCUGCUGUAUCUUGGAAGACCAUGUGGGCUGCGUGGGUGCUUGGUCUCCUCUGAGCCUCCGGCCUCCAUAAGACCCAAAACAGAUGACACCUCUUCCCAGUCCC
rnacentral:sRNA from 1 species